AGCCUGGACGCGGCGCUGCGGGUUGCGUGGGAUCGCGGGCUCCGGCCUUGGCGCGCUCCGCCAGCGGUUAGUCAUCCCCUCGGGCGGCUUGGCCCUCGCCCCUCCUGGCGGCGCUGCUGGGGGAGCGUCCGCCCCGGGGUGCCCGGGGCCUGGCCGGUGGUGGGAUGGGGCGGCAGGCACCCACCCGGGCUCCUGGCACCCCUGCAGCUGCGUACUGAUGGGAGGGAGGUGCACCGUUCCUCGCCCACUCCGUCCACCCGGGACCCCCCAUACCCCGCCCAAGUUGGAGUCAAUUGCCAAGCCACUGUCUUCCGGUCUCAGUUUUCUGCUUUGCUCGUAACAGGUCAUGCCCUGCAUUUUCCCUCCCCUCAGACUCUCCUCGCGUGGCUUCCUUCUCCCGCUGCCCUUCCACCCUAGAAAUUCUGCUGACCACCGUGCCGCUUCUCCGUAAAGCCUACCCCAAAUCCCUCAUGGAUCCCGUUCCUUCUAUUAAUACGUUAUCUUCUCUUGCAAGCCGUGGGCCACAGGGUGCCGCGGGCUGUGAGCAGAAGGGACCCGGCAGUCUUCCCCACCCCUGCUGCUCCGCAGAGAUUAUGGCUCCCCAGUCCAAGAAGUCACCACCACGCACCAGGCAACACCAGGAGCUCUGAGGGCACAAAAAUGAACCCAAUAGAGACCCCAGUCAGGGAAAUCCAUGCCAGCCAAAAGGACAGAACAGAACUCCCGUGACGAGUGCAACAGUGGAUGUACGGACCAACUCCUGUGAGAACAAGUCAAGGGGGUGGUUGGUUCUGCCUUGGAGGACCACGAAAGGUUCUCAAGGGAGGACCCUGAAGGUUCUCAUGGGGGCUGGACUUUGAAUUCUGAGUAGGCGCUCCCAGGUGGAAGAAGCACGAUCAACUGGAAGUUGAGAGAGAAGAUUCUAGACCAGCGCGUCAAAGAGAGCCAGUGUGGUCUAUCUGAGGAAGAGUGGGCAGUUCUGUGUGGGUGAGGGAGGUGAGUUAUAUGAGAUGAGACUGGAAAGGGAAGUGGAUGGAAGAUUACCGUCAGCCCUCUGAGUUGUCUCGGGAAUUUGGAUCCUUAAGGCAAUGAGGACCCUUAAGGGAAGUUGGGAUCUAAUUAUGCCUGAAUCUGAACUUCAGUGCUUAUCUUGGUUAUGGCCAUAUAGAAGAUGUCUUGAAACAGGAAAGCUUGGAGUCAGAGAGACUAAUUAGGAGAGUGAUGUAAAAUCCAGGUAUCAUAUGAUGAGAGUCUGAACUAUUAUGGAGAUGGUGAGAAUGGAAAUGACAGGACAUGUUUGGCAUAUUUUUGAGAUAGAAUCAGCCAGAUUUGUUGAGCCAAUAAAUGGAAGAGGGAGGAAUCUGGGGUCUGGGGGGGAGUGAGACACUGAGUUUCUAGCCUGGAUGCCUAGACAGAUGGUGAUAACGAUAAUGAAGUUAGGCGCUAGGGGAGAAAGAGCCGGUUUGAGUAGGGAAGGUGAUGAGUCCAAGUGGGGCCAUACUGAUUUUGAGCUACUUAGGGCACAUCCAUGUGGAAAAGUCCAAUAGGCAACGAGUUAGCUGGGUCUGGAGUUUUAGAAGAGGGUUAAUGGAUGAGAUUUGGAAGUCAUUAGCUCAAAGAUGGUUGUUGAAGCCAGAGAAGCAGAUGAGAUCAUCUAGCUAAUAGGUGAUAGGGUAGCAAUUUGAACCCAAGCCUAUAGUGGACUUCAAAUGUUUAUUGGGCCAGUGCUUUGCUGAAGGUACAAAGGUGAAUGAAUAGGGGAUGGUCCUAGUCUCAAACAGCCAGAAGGAAUAUAAGGAUCCGCAUAAGCUAGUCUUCUGCACCGUGUCCAAACAUGUUGCUGAAGCUGUGUCAUGUUUUGGUUACGUGUCUAUGCAGUUGUCAAGUACGCCCACAACACAAUGAUAACAGCUGCAAAAGUUGUUUUCUUAACAAUUAGUGAGGUCCCUGAGGGCAGGUCCACACUCGAGCCCACCCAGCCCCAGCACAGACUGAACUCCAAAGCCACGGAUCACCCUUGAACCUGCAUUGGUGACCACUGGCUUUGCUAAGGGAUAAAACAUUGCAUGAGAAUUUGAUAUCAGAGUUAUAUGCACCUGUUUAAGGGAAACAGAGUAAGGCCUCCCAUCAAAAUCUGUUUCCUUUACAGUAACAUACCAACUUUUAUUAUCCAAAUAGAAGGAUUAAAUGAGAUUAUUCUUUUCUUCUCUAUAGCUAUCUGAUUUUACUGAUUUACUGAUUUCUUCCUGCAUUUCCAAGUGAAUGUGUAUUGUUCUUGCACCAAAAAAUGAUACUGAGCAUAAUAAAAACGUUUAAAAGAUGCUUUCCCAAA